rnacentral:lncRNA from 1 species
GUUUCUUGGAAGCCAGUGCUGACACGUCUACAUGCUGUCCUGCUCUGUCCUGCAUUCAAGCCUUGGGUAUGCCACUGCAGGAUGAAGUACAGCAUGAAGAGUUUUUAUUCACACCAGGAAAGGUAAAGCAGAGGGGUCUUUGGAGACUGAAAACUCUUCUAACUGUGGACACAGCUAUUUGAGAAUUCCAGCCCCUGAGAACAGGACAGCUUGUUCCAAGGUUUUCAUUAGGAGGGAUGGACUGUGCAGCUCAGUAUCAUAUUCAGCAGCUGUUGUUCUGGAACUGACCAUCCAAGACAAGUGAGAUAAAAAACCUGCUUCCACAGGGAUGUAAAGGCAAGAUCAUAUG